CCUACGGGUGGCUGCAGUGGGGAAUAUUGGACAAUGGGGGCAACCCUGAUCCAGCCAUGCCGCGUGUGUGAAGAAGGCCCUCGGGUUGUAAAGCACUUUCAGUGAGGAAGAACGCCUGGUGGUUAAUACCCAUCAGGAAAGACAUCACUCACAGAAGAAGCACCGGCUAACUCCGUGCCAGCAGCCGCGGUAAUACGGAGGGUGCGAGCGUUAAUCGGAAUUACUGGGCGUAAAGCGCGCGUAGGUGGCUUGAUAAGCCGGUUGUGAAAGCCCCGGGCUCAACCUGGGAACGGCAUCCGGAGCUGUCAAGCUAGAGUGCAGGAGAGGAAGGUAGUAUUCCCGGUGUAGCGGUGAAAUGCGUAGAGAUCGGGAGGAAUACCAGUGGCGAAGGCGGCCUUCUGGACUGACACUGACACUGAGGUGCGAAAGCGUGGGUAGCAAACAGGAUUAGAUACCCCAGUAGUC
rnacentral:rRNA from 1 species